AAGUUAUAAUGCGGGAAUUGAAUCAGAUAAACCUUAAAUAUUUCUCAAGCAUAAAAGGAUUCUCCUUCUUUCUGAGUGAAAUUACAAAUUGUAGACCUAUAAUCU
rfam:Ricinus communis cultivar Hale ctg_1100012362749, whole genome shotgun sequence.